GACAAGUUGAAGGCCAAGUUUACCACAGGAUCCUACAGAUGGCAUUCUCCAAGUCUCUUGACUAGAGAAACUUGCUGAUAAAAUAAAUCAGCAGAAAUGAUAGAUGAAGAUUUGAACUUUGCACACUGGCGCAGGCGCAGAGUAUGACACAUCCCCAUGGCCUUGCUCUUCCCGGGGGUGGUGAUCCCUGCAGGGGAAGGAAAACUAGUUAUGAGCCUGUUUCCCAGAAAUGGUCCUAAGGGAAACCUUUUGGUACUUCCCCUAGUACCAGUCCAAAAGACACCCAUGGGCUUGGACAGCCCUGUGCUUUCCCAAACAGAGUGAGUCCUGGCCUCUAUGACCUCACAUAAGGGUCACUGCCACGGUUAUGGCUGUGACUUACUUCUGAGGACAACACUAGGAUUUAUACCCAGAAGAAGGUGGGUAGGGAUAUAUUUCAGGUAAAUGACUGCAGAAAAUUCUUUGGAUGAAAAUGUGAUCUCACACCAGUGUGUGGACAUGUGAGGGGCAUUAUAGAAAAAGGGUGACUAAGUCACAAUUCCAUGUCAUGGAUUUUUGAUAUACAAGACAGAUGUGGUCUUAAGAAGAGUUGCAUUAGAAAGGAGCAGAGAGACACCUCACUGAGCAUGGCUAUGCAUGACAUGCAGGGAGAGGACACCAUCCCCACACAGGAAAGAGGCCUUGUGAAGAUCUGCACAGCCCCUAGUGCCUUAGCAAGACAUCCUCUAGACACAUAAGGAACAAAUCUCUGCUGUUUCCUUGAACUCCCUGUGAUAUUCUGUCAUGGGAUCUGACCACAGAACGGGAUGAAAGGCUGCAUGACCCCUUGUUGGGACUCUCUUAGCUCUCUCUGUUAGAAGCAAUAAUCUUCCCACAUGAGCUCUUCAAGCCUCUCCACCUAUAGGCAGAGUCAGAUAUAUAUCAGGAAAGACUUCCCAACCACCUUCUCUCCUACAUAUUUGAUGUAUUUGUACAAUGUAUAAUUUAUUUCAUCUGGACUGUGUGCUGUGUGUCUCUGUGUUCCUAAAGGACAGGUCAAUGAUGUUCUGAUUACAUUUGACAUGACAGAAAAGGACACCAAGUAUUUUCCUCUGUCAAUAUCAAUCUAUCUAUUUUUAUUUUCAGAAAAUCUGACCAUAGACAAAGGCUAAUGACAAUGUAGCUUUGGACAUACAUGGAUUCAACUACCUCAAGCCUGAAGAGAAACAGAAUCACUUGUUCCUGAAAGGGACUGAAGCUCACUGAAGUCACCCACAAACAUCAAGAACACAGAAGCUCGGUCCUCCUUUCUUAGACAUUUACUAGGAUGGUGCUUCCCAUCAGUGCUCCUUCCCUGGAAUUCACCCAGUGUCUCCAGUCUCCUCAUUCUUGGGACAAUCUGAACCCGUGUGGACUGCUAUAACAAGAUAGCCCAGGCCAGUGGCUUCUUAGGAACAGAAAUUGUUUUCUCACAGAUCUGAAGGCUUGAAGUUCAAUUUCAACAUCCUGGAAGAUUCCUUGUCUGCUGAGGGCUACUUCCUGGCUCAUGAACCUUCCCAAGGUGACCUUUCAUCAGAGCACUUAACUGUUCAUGAGGGUACCACCCUCAGGAUGUCAUUACCUCCCAAAGGCCCCAUUUCAUCAUUUCUGGAGUUCUAAGAUCACAGCAUGUGAAUUUGGGCCCCACCAGUUUUCAAACAGAGCAGAGGCCCACUGUCUUAGAAACCAGAAAUACAACUUUGGUUCUUCUGCGUGGUUUUAUUCUCUCCAGCAAACAUCAAGUUAUCAGAAACAGAACAUUCUGCAACUUUCUAGAUUGAUGACAAAGAUGAACCUCCUCAAACCACAGAGAUGUGAAGGGAGCUGCAGCCAGCACCACUUACCAAACUGGAGGAGGAGGAGAAAUUUUCCCAAAUUUUCCUGGCUUUUGUCUCCUAUCAACCCAGGAAAGCAUGAAGGAGCCAGGGCUGGCUUUAGGAUCCUCCCACAAAAGUGCUCCCGGGAAACACCUGUAUGUGUAGACACAAGAAGUUGAACAUCAAGCCACAGAGGUUUCAUUCGACUAGACAAAACCCCCACGUACCAAGCAAAAAAUGCUGGGCAAAUAAACAGCUACCUGAUAUUAGUCAAAUGUGAAGGAUUUGUGCCUGAUUAGUGAAUGGGGCCCAUAUGAAUGGCCAGAGCUCUCAUAUUCCAGAACUGAAUACCUCCCAGGUGGUCAAUACUGGGACCCAGGACCCACUAGGACUACAGACAAGAUGACCAUAUAGUGUGGGGGAACUUCACAGUCCAGUGGAGAAGAAGCCUAGAUAAAAACCCACUGCCACUGGCUACUUUGUGUGACGCCCAUCACCAGCAAACCAAACUCUCUGUGUGCUGAGAAACCAAACAGAAGACUCUGGAAAUGUUUAGGUUCUUUUCAUCGGAAUCUUCUAUGUCAGAUGUUUCCUCAAGCUUUUCAUGCAUGAAGAGGUGGGAAUUUCAUUGUAUGGCUUUGUAUUUCUCUCCAUAUUGGAAAAAUUCUGCACACAAAGGAUAUUUCAUGGGGCAGGAAAUAUGGCUCCAUGGUUAAAAGCACUUACUGCUUUUGCAGAGGACCCAAGUUCAGUU